UGGGGAAUAUUGGACAAUGGGCGCAAGCCUGAUCCAGCCAUGCCGCGUGGGUGAAGAAGGCCUUCGGGUUGUAAAGCCCUUUUGUCCGGAAAGAAAAGCAUCGAGCUAAUACCUCGGUGUUCCUGACGGUACUGGAAGAAUAAGCACCGGCUAACUUCGUGCCAGCAGCCGCGGUAAUACGAAGGGUGCAAGCGUUACUCGGAAUUACUGGGCGUAAAGCGUGCGUAGGUGGUUCGUUAAGUCUGAUGUGAAAGCCCUGGGCUCAACCUGGGAAUUGCAUUGGAUACUGGCGGGCUAGAGUGCGGUAGAGGAUGGCGGAAUUCCCGGUGUAGCAGUGAAAUGCGUAGAGAUCGGGAGGAACAUCUGUGGCGAAGGCGGCCAUCUGGACCAGCACUGACACUGAGGCACGAAAGCGUGGGGAGCAAACAGGAUUAGAUACCCAAGUAGUCCCUGAGCGGGCUGGCAAGGCGCAU
rnacentral:rRNA from 1 species